rnacentral:rRNA from 1 species
GGGAGCCGGAGGGAAACCGAGUCUUAAUUGGGCGUUAAGUUGCAGGGUAUAGACCCGAAACCCGGUGAUCUAGCCAUGGGCAGGUUGAAGGUUGGGUAACACUAACUGGAGGACCGAACCGACUAAUGUUGAAAAAUUAGCGGAUGACCUGUGGCUGGGGGUGAAAGGCCAAUCAAACCGGGAGAUAGCUGGUUCUCCCCGAAAGCUAUUUAGGUAGCGCCUCGUGAAUUCAUCUCCGGGGGUAGAGCACUGUUUCGGCUAGGGGGCCAUCCCGGCUUACCAACCCGAUGCAAACUGCGAAUACCGGAGAAUGUUAUCACGGGAGACACACGGCGGGUGCUAACGUCCGUCGUGAAGAGGGAAACAACCCAGACCGCCAGCUAAGGUCCCAAAGUCAUGGUUAAGUGGGAAACGAUGUGGGAAGGCCCAGACAGCCAGGAUGUUGGCUUAGAAGCAGCCAUCAUUUAAAGAAAGCGUAAUAGCUCACUGGUCGAGUCGGCCUGCGCGGAAGAUGUAACGGGGCUAAACCAUGCACCGAAGCUGCGGCAGCGACACUCAGGUGUUGUUGGGUAGGGGAGCGUUCUGUAAGCCUGCGAAGGUGGCCUGUGAGGGUUGCUGGAGGUAUCAGAAGUGCGAAUGCUGACAUAAGUAACGAUAAAGCGGGUGAAAAGCCCGCUCGCCGGAAGACCAAGGGUUCCUGUCCAACGUUAAUCGGGGCAGGGUGAGUCGACCCCUAAGGCGAGGCCGAAAGGCGUAGUCGAUGGGAAACGGGUUAAUAUUCCCGUACUUGGUGUUACUGCGAAGGGGGGACGGAGAAGGCUAUGUUGGCCGGGCGACGGUUGUCCCGGUUUAAGCGUGUAGGUGUGUGUUCCAGGUAAAUCCGGUUCACUUUAACACUGAGGCGUGACGACGAGGCACUACGGUGCUGAAGCAACAAAUGCCCUGCUUCCAGGAAAAGCCUCUAAGCAUCAGGUAACAUCAAAUCGUACCCCAAACCGACACAGGUGGUCAGGUAGAGAAUACCAAGGCGCUUGAGAGAACUCGGGUGAAGGAACUAGGCAAAAUGGUGCCGUAACUUCGGGAGAAGGCACGCUGACACGUAGGUGAAGUGAUUUACUCAUGGAGCUGAAGUCAGUCGAAGAUACCAGCUGGCUGCAACUGUUUAUUAAAAACACAGCACUGUGCAAACACGAAAGUGGACGUAUACGGUGUGACGCCUGCCCGGUGCCGGAAGGUUAAUUGAUGGGGUCAGCGCAAGCGAAGCUCCUGAUCGAAGCCCCGGUAAACGGCGGCCGUAACUAUAACGGUCCUAAGGUAGCGAAAUUCCUUGUCGGGUAAGUUCCGACCUGCACGAAUGGCGUAAUGAUGGCCAGGCUGUCUCCACCCGAGACUCAGUGAAAUUGAACUCGCUGUGAAGAUGCAGUGUACCCGCGGCAAGACGGAAAGACCCCGUGAACCUUUACUAUAGCUUGACACUGAACAUUGAGCCUUGAUGUGUAGGAUAGGUGGGAGGCUUUGAAGUGUGGACGCCAGUCUGCAUGGAGCCGACCUUGAAAUACCACCCUUUAAUGUUUGAUGUUCUAACGUGGACCCGUGA